rnacentral:rRNA from 1 species
CAAAAUGACUCUCGGCAACGGAUAUCUCGGCUCUCGCAUCGAUGAAGAACGUAGCGAAAUGCGAUACUUGGUGUGAAUUGCAGAAUCCAGUGAACCAUCGAGUCUUUGAACGCAAGUUGCGCCCGAAGCCUUCGGGCUGAGGGCACGUCUGCCUGGG